rnacentral:rRNA from 1 species
UACGGGGGGGAGCAAGCGUUGUUCGGAUUUACUGGGCGUAAAGGGCGCGUAGGCGGUCGUGACAAGUCACUUGUGAAAUCUCCGGGCUUAACUCGGAACGGUCAAGUGAUACUGUCGGACUAGAGUACAGAAGGGGCAACUGGAAUUCUCGGUGUAGCGGUGAAAUGCGCAGAUAUCGGGAGGAACACCUAUGGCGAAGGCAGCUCGCUGGGACGUUACUGACGCGUGAGACGCGAAAGCGUGGGAAGCAAACAGG